GACGAACGCUGGCGGCGUGCUUAACACAUGCAAGUCGAACGGAAAGGCCCUGCUUUUGUGGGGUGCUCGAGUGGCGAACGGGUGAGUAACACGUGAGUAACCUGCCCUUGACUUUGGGAUAACUUCAGGAAACUGGGGCUAAUACCGGAUAGGAGCUCCUGCUGCAUGGUGGGGGUUGGAAAGUUUCGGCGGUUGGGGAUGGACUCGCGGCUUAUCAGCUUGUUGGUGGGGUAGUGGCCUACCAAGGCUUUGACGGGUAGCCGGCCUGAGAGGGCGACCGGCCACAUUGGGACUGAGAUACGGCCCAGACUCCUACGGGAGGCAGCAGUGGGGAAUAUUGCACAAUGGGCGGAAGCCUGAUGCAGCAACGCCGCGUGCGGGAUGACGGCCUUCGGGUUGUAAACCGCUUUCGCCUGUGACGAAGCGUGAGUGACGGUAAUGGGUAAAGAAGCACCGGCUAACUACGUG
rnacentral:rRNA from 1 species